rnacentral:rRNA from 1 species
GUGAACGCUGGCGGUAGGCCUAACACAUGCCAGUCGCACGGCAGCACAGUAAGAGCUUGCUCUUACGGGUGGCGAGUGGCGGACGGGUGAGGAAUACAUCGGAAUCUACUUUUUCGUGGGGGAUAACGUAGGGAAACUUACGCUAAUACCGCAUACGACCUACGGGUGAAAGCAGGGGAUCUUCGGACCUUGCGCGAUUGAAUGAGCCGAUGUCGGAUUAGCUAGUUGGCGGGGUAAAGGCCCACCAAGGCGACGAUCCGUAGCUGGUCUGAGAGGAUGAUCAGCCACACUGGAACUGAGACACGGUCCAGACUCCUACGGGAGGCAGCAGUGGGGGAUAUUGGACAAUGGGCGCAAGCCUGAUCCAGCCAUACCGCGUGGGUGAAGAAGGCCUUCGGGUUGUAAAGCCCUUUUGUUGGGAAAGAAAAGCAGCAGGUUAAUACCCCGCUGUUCUGACGGUACCCAAAGAAUAAGCACCGGCUAACUUCGUG